CUCACACGCUGAACUGAAGGUGGAUUGUGCUCCGGAGAAGGGGUGACAGUGGGGAGGAAGGACUGCGGCCACUGAAAGCCCAGACACGGGGUGUUGGUUGAGAUGAGAGUGGUGCUCUCCCCCUGGGUGAGGCUGGGACCAGAACACAGUGAUGGCGGCGCACGGUUACCCUGGGGAAGGAGCACGCUCUGGGCAUAAAAACUGCGAGAGUUGUGUUGCUAAGGGGUUGGCCAUGGCCGUGGAGGAACUAUAAGCUGCUGCCUGGAUGAGGGGCAAUGACAGUGAGCUGUGUGUCCAAACCAAUGGCAUGAUGCCCGCACUGGGGGGCCAGCCAAUGGGACUGGUGCCUUGGACAGCAUUUGAAGGCUCAUUGUCUCCCUUCCACCGGAAUACAGACCCCGAGGCCUAGAACAGUGCCUGACUCACUGUAGGAGCUCCACACCUGUUUCUGAACGGAACCAAUGUCUCAGUUUUGGCCACUGGACAACUUAGCAGCUGCCUCGGGACCCCCCGGACACCAGUCUGCAGACGUCAGCAGCUCCGAGGCAACCCCCACAUGGACAUUCUUAAUGGGCAACGGAUGGCCAUAUUCAAAGGGGGACUGUGGGGACGUCUGGUGAGAAGUCCCAGACACCCUCCCCCUGAAGGCCUGUCCCUCCCCGCAGGCUCCUUACUUUUGAAGAUCUCUGAGUCGAAGCCAGCGUCCUUCCCCAGAUUACCUCCCAGUGUAUCUCACCGGAGUUAAAAUUAAGGUGUGGUUGCUUUGCUGGGGUACACACUGAGCUUGCCACAGAGAGGAAAUCCGGACCCAGGCUGGAGGGUGAAGAUUAAACAUGUGCUGUGAUAACCCACCAGCUAGCGCACUUACGGAUAAACAAAGAUUAACUUUAAUUAAACACGCUGAUAACCCUUCUGUAGUUCCCGGAGCACUGCCCAGCCUCACCUUGGUUACAGGGGGAAGCUCGUAGUCAGGACCUGAAUUCAGGAGUCUCACCUCCCCUGGCUUCAGCCCAACUUACCUGGCAGUGUCUUCACACGGCACAUGUAGGGGGCACUCUCUUUGGACCAGGUUGGAACAAAAAUUGUGAUGGUCCCAAGGAACUCCGUGUCAGGGUUCAGGCCAAUGAACUCGUAUUCCCUCCGGUUUCCUUCAAGGUGCUGAAUUGGACAGAGAACCCUCAGUGACUCCUCUUACGCCCCAGUCUCCAUGCGGAGCCCGAGCUCGUCUCAUACCUCUGCCUGGGUUACUGCACGUAGGCAAAGGCGGCUACCAGCUCCCGAACCAGACGCUGGUGGAUCUGCCCGCGGUGCUCCAUUCCCUUCCCCCGCCUUCGGCUUUCUCUGGACCCAGUCGGUCACCAAGCUCCAUACACUUGCUCUUAGAACAGUGUCUGGUACGUGGUAAGCACUCAGUAAAUAUUAGCUGCUGUUACCACAACUGCCACCAGCACCACCACCACCAACACCACCAUCACAGCCAUCACUACUACCACGACCACCAUCACCUCCACCACCGGUUUAUCAGGAGGCUCUAGCAAUCAUGAAUGUGUGUGUGUUGACAACAGUUUCAAAUAUGCAUAGAAUUAAAUGGAAAAAUAGACAAUUCCACAGUCAUGGUUGGAGAACACAAUGCUUCAGCAAUUAAAAAAAGCUAUCAACUCCACCCAAACCAGGAAAGGUGUAGAAGCUCUGAACAGCACUCCCGGCCGCCUUGCUCUGACUGACACACACAGCGCACCCCACCACACGACCGCGAGAACAUGUUCUUUUCCAGUGCGCACGCAACAUCCACCAAGAUAGGCCGCUGCUGAGCCUUAAAACAAGUCUCAAUAAAUUUAUAAGGACUGAAAUGACACAGACUAUUUUUCUGGCCACAAAAUGAAUUAAAUCAUGAUAACCCCAGCGAUUUACCAAAGUACAGUUGUGAUAAGGACUCUCCCUACCCAAUAAUCUCCAAUGGCUCCCGGUGAUGACUGAAAUACACAAGGCCCCUCCCUCCGCGGCCCCAGGCGUCUGCAGCCCCGAACUGUCUUCUCGGGUGUGUGCUCAAAUUCCAGUGUGGGCGGGAAGCCUGUGAGACGCUGGCUAAGCUUCAGACCCCAGGGGUGUAACUGUAGAAUUUGAUUCAGUAGAUUGGAGGAGGGAACAUUUUAGACAAAUGCUGCAGAAAAUUCUGAAACCCUUGGUUUGGGACCAUGUUUUGAGAAGCUGUUCUCCAUGUCCCCUUGCUCCAGGCAACCUGGGCAGUUCUGUGCUUUCCGGCAAUGUCCAGAGUUUUUCUGCUCCUCCCGUGAUCAUGGUGGGUGCGGUGCAGGCCAGUGGGGGGAAACGUGGGCUUUGAACAUGGCUGGGUUUGAAUCUCUGGCUUAUGCUACUAUUUGCUGAACAAUCUUGAGCUAGUGACUUAACCUCUCUGAGCUGCUGUUUUCUCAUCCAGAAGAUGCAGGAGAUAAUAGCACCUACCACACGGAGAGUGGGUGAAGAUUAAGUGACUUAACAAGCAUACGUUACCUAGCACACCUCAGAAAUUAGUAUUGGCACCAGAAAAUUGUCUGAUCCGCAAGUCUUGCCAGACUUCCCUGAAUGGCCACUUCCCCCUCACCUGCUUGCUUCUGCUCUGCCUCACACAAUACCCUUAUUUCGCUCUCCUUACACCUGUUUAACUUCUUGUUUUAAUCCCAUUCCUUCCCACCAGACUAUACACUCUGAGUGCAGAAACAGUCAAUGGAAUUAUGGAUUAGUGGCGCAUGCCGGGGGGAAAUGCCACGUAUUUUCUGAGUAGAAAAAAAAUAACUUGUACACUGUUUGACAGCUCAGGCCCCUGCCUUCCCCCGUUCAUUACUGCUGAUCUGCAGACACGGCCUGUGUCCAGUCCCCACAGAUGGUGGGGAACCGGCAAAGAGGACUGCGGCCGUGGCAACUGAUUCCAGCAUUUUCUGAAGUGGAUGCCUGAGAAUGUUAACAGAGGUUGUUCCCUGGGAUGUGAGAAGGCGUUAGGCAAAAAAAUUAAGAAAAACAAUAAACA